rnacentral:lncRNA from 1 species
UAUCUCUCAUCUCUCACGUCUCUUAACCCUAUUCUGUCAUGGUUAUUUAGCAUCUAAGCUCUUGAACUCUACCAAAAUGAUCCCACAGAACAACAGGAGCACCCUUGUAUUAAAUCUGUGAACCAUUUCCCUCAAAUCCUCCUCAACUUUCUCAAAUCUUAAAUCCGAAAUCAGAGUCUCUAAGAGCCAAGUCUAAACCGGAGCAUGCAAGGUAGUCGCUCCAGCUUUCUUGAAGUUUUAGAGUUGAUUUUGUCACGAAAUAGUAUUAUCCACUUGUUCUUGACAAAGAACAAGCGGUUAAUAUUAUUUUGCGUUGAAGUCACAAAAAAUCAAGUGAUGUGAGGUAAGUUCUUUUUAUGUUCGAUGCAUCUUGAUAUUACGACUUCUAUUCUUUUCCUUUGCUACUUUUUUCUAGACAAUUCAGUCAGAAUUCGAAUCGAGAUUUCUCUAAAUGGGUAACUGUUGGUUGUUUUUCUCUAGGCUGUUAUUCAGUCCUAUUUUGGUCAUGUCAUGAUUUCCAUCUCAGUUUCAUUCUCAUGUUUUGUCAUCAAUUAAGAAAUUUAGGGCUUUGAUUUAAUUAAAUUACAAUGAUGUUUAGUUUAGUAAACUUUAUUCUUGUUUUGACUGCUAUUGAAAAAUGGUUUUGGAUUCCUUUAUGAGGAAAUUAUGGGUCAAGUUCUAUCCUGAGGCUCCUAAGUAGUUUAACUGAUUAGUAAAUAGUAACAGGCCCAAUUAGGGAUUAAAUUGGGGAUCUAUGAUCCAUUUAGCUCGGUCAGUUGACCCAUUUUUUGUAGGUUUUAGAGGUAAAUAAUCAGGGUCUUAGGGGUAAUUUGGGAAUUUUUGGGUAAGGAAUCUUUCAUAACUGUUUAAGAAGCUUCUAGAAAGUUGAAAAUAGCCUUGCUUGGUUAGCAAGACAAAAUUUGAGGGAUUGAGUAGCUAUAACCAAAAUUAAAGAAGGGUAGAAAUGAAAAAAGAAAAUUUGAUAGUUGCCAUAUUGUUUUGCCUACAAAACAUUCCAUUCUUGUCUUUCAAAAAAAAGAGAGAGAUAUAAAAUUAGAAAAAUAGGAUGGCUGAGGUUUUACAAAAACAUUGUUCCAUUGGGUUUUUUCCCUUUGAUUCCUAAAUUUCUAACUUAUUGAAGCAAUCUUUGGAUCAUUGAGUGCUUGAGAUGGAUUGAUAUUAGUGUGUGGACAGUUUAGGGUGAAGCUAUGCUGGGUUUUAUUGUUAUAUUGGAAUUGAUUUCGUGGUUUCAAGUGCUAAAUCUAAGCUGAGCUAUUGAUGUUGUCUAUCUCUGCUGCUAAUAUUGCUGAUCCUUCUUUGUUUCUUUGUUCCCUCAAUCUCAGGUAAACAUCCAUGCAAUUCAAACCAUGUGAUUAUUAAAUUGAGAGUCGAGAAAUGGAAUGAAAUGUUUGAUAUUUGAGUGUCGAACUGUUGGUUCUUACUCAUCUUUUACUCUACUUCAUUUUCUUUCCAGUUUAAUGUUUUUUCCCUUCAGAAGUGAAGUGAAUUUUACCAUAUGAUUUGGACAUUUGCUUUUGAGUAGUAGUUGUUCACAAUCUAGCUUUCUAGAUUAUUCUAUCUCAUGUUAUUUGUAUUGUGUUUCUCCUUAACGAUUGGGUAUGAAUUUUGUUGAUAUAACGGAUUCAAGGUUUUG